CCUACGGGAGACAGCAGUGAGGAAUAUUGGUCAAUGGGCGGAAGCCUGAACCAGCCAAGUAGCGUGCAGGAUGACGGCCCUACGGGUUGUAAACUGCUUUUAUACGGGAAUAACGCGCCUUACGUGUAGGGCUUUGCAUGUACCGUAUGAAUAAGGACCGGCUAAUUCCGUGCCAGCAGCCGCGGUAAUACGGAAGGUCCGGGCGUUAUCCGGAUUUAAUGGGUUUAAAGGGAGCGUAGGCCGCAUGUCAAGCGUGCUGUGAAAUGUCCGGGCUCAACCCGGGCCUUGCAGCGCGAACUGGCGUGCUUGAGUCCGCGGAAAGCAGGCGGAAUUCGUCGUGUAGCGGUGAAAUGCUUAGAUAUGACGAAGAACCCCGAUUGCGAAGGCAGCUUGCUGCAGCGGAACUGACGCUGAUGCUCGAAAGCGCGGGUAUCGAACAGGAUUAGAUACCCGGGUAGUC
rnacentral:rRNA from 1 species